UACGGAGGGUGCAAGCGUUGUCCGGAUUUAUUGGGUUUAAAGGGUGCGUAGGCGGUCUGGUAAGUCUGGGGUGAAAGCCCGUUGCUCAACAACGGAACUGCCCUGGAAACUGCCAGACUUGAGUACAGACGAGGGUGGCGGAAUGGAUGCUGUAGCGGUGAAAUGCAUAGAUAGCAUCCAGAACCCCGAUUGCGAAGCAGCUGCCUAGACUGUAACUGACGCUGAGGCACGAAAGCGUGGGGAGCGAACAGG
rnacentral:rRNA from 1 species